rnacentral:rRNA from 1 species
GGGCACGACACCGGAGAGGGAGCCUGAGAAACGGCUACCANAUCCAAGGAUGGCAGCAGGCGCGCAAAUUACCCAAUCCCGACACGGGGAGGUAGUGACAAUAAAUAACAAUACGGGGUUCUUUCGGAUCUCGUAAUUGGAAUGAGUACAAUUUAAAUCUCUUAACGAGGAACAAUUGGAGGGCAAGUCUGGUGCCAGCAGCCGCGGUAAUUCCAGCUCCAAUAGCGUAUAUUAAAGUUGUUGCAGUUAAAAAGCUCGUAGUUGAAUUUCGGGAUCGAAUUGUUGGUCGUGCCUCGGUACGCACUGGCAUUAUCGGUUCCUACCUUCUGAAGAACCGCGAUGUCAUUAAUUUGGUGUCGUGGGGAAUCAGGACUGUUACUUUGAAAAAAUUAGAGUGUUUAAAGCAAGCUUACGCUUGAAUACAUUAGCAUGGAAUAAUGAAAUAGGACGUUUGAUUCUAUUUUGUUGGUUUCUAGGAUCGACGUAAUGAUUAAUAGGGAUAGUUGGGGGCAUUAGUAUUCAAUUGUCAGAGGUGAAAUUCUUGGAUUUAUUGAAGACUAACUACUGCGAAAGCAUUUGCCAAGGAUGUUUUCAUUAAUCAAGAACGAAAGUUAGGGGAUCGAAGACGAUCAGAUACCGUCGUAGUCUUAACCAUAAACUAUGCCGACUAGGGAUCGGAUGAUGUUAAUUUUUUAAUGACUCAUUCGGCGCCUUACGGGAAACC